rnacentral:SRP_RNA from 1 species
AUCUGUAACCCGAGUGGGUGACAUAAACCGGUGAAAGAGUAUGGCAACGUGUCUGAGGAUCUGCAUGGCACUAUAUUGAGAGCCUGCCCACUCCAAAUUUCGAGUAGCUAUAGGCGGACCCUGGUAGCGGGGACACGUCUAGGGCAUCAAAGACACCCGAACCGCCUUAGGCUGGCAACAGAGCAAGGAAAAGGGUGCGCUUGAAAUGGUGGAGGGAUAACAGGCUU